rnacentral:rRNA from 1 species
GACAGAGGUGCCAAGCGUUAGGCGGAAUCACUGGGCUUAAAGCGUGUGUAGGCGGGUCGUUAAGUGUCUUGUGAAAUCCCCCGGCUCAACCGGGGAGUGGCUGGGCAUACUGGCGAUCUUGAGCAGUCUAGGGGCAGAUGGAACAGACGGUGGAGCGGUGAAAUGCGUAGAUAUCGUCUGGAACGCCAAAGGUGAAAACAGUCUGCUGGGGACUUGCUGACGCUGAGACACGAAAGCCAGGGGAGCGAACGGG